AACUCUUGGUAAGUGGCACAGGGAGUCGAUGUCGCUAUAGAACGCCAUUUCUUCUUAGUACCCAACCUGAAACGACGGAGCAUCUUGAUCGGAUUAACAGCAACCUCCGGAUCAUAUCGAGACAAAUUAGUGAAUCUCUUGUAAUAUUCAUUCACCGUUAUCUUUCCUUGUUUCAAAUGCGUAAAUUCUUAUUUCUUGCGAUCAAUAUACUCAGGGGGAAUAAACCUUUUCCGAAACAACUGUUUAAACAUUUCCCAAUCGGCUGCUACCUCUGGUGGCAUCUGAUAGGA
rnacentral:lncRNA from 1 species